UUUUAUUUGAGAGUUUGAUCCUGGCUCAGGAUGAACGCUGGCGGCGUGCCUAACACAUGCAAGUUGAGCGAUUUACUUCGGUAAAGAGCGGCGGACGGGUGAGUAACGCGUGGGUAACCUACCCUGUACACACGGAUAACAUACCGAAAGGUAUGCUAAUACGGGAUAAUAUAUUUGAGAGGCAUCUCUUGAAUAUCAAAGGUGAGCCAGUACAGGAUGGACCCGCGUCUGAUUAGCUAGUUGGUAAGGUAACGGCUUACCAAGGCGACGAUCAGUAGGCGACCUGAGAGGGUGAUCGGACACAUUGGAACUGAGACACGGUCCAAACUCCUACGGGAGGCAGCAGUGGGGAAUAUUGCACAAUGGGCGAAAGCCUGAUGCAGCAACGCCGCG
rnacentral:rRNA from 1 species